AGCAAGAAACAGGUUGAGGACCUACAUCAGCACGCGGAACACGAUCAGGAAGGAGUGGAAGAAGUCGUGCAUGUGCCAGCGUGGGAGUGUACAGUCCUCAUUGAUCUUGCAGACACAUUCUUUGUAGCUCUUCCCAAAGAGCUGCAUGCCGACAACGGCAAAGAUGAAGACGAUGAUGGCCAACACCAAGGCAAAGUUGUACAUUCCAAAGAUGGCGUAGAUGAACAUGACCAGGAAGAUGAGAAGACUGAUGUUCAACAGUGCUGGGAGGGACAGCAUCAGAGGGAGCAUCAGAUCACGGAACACCUUUGGCCCUUUCCCAAGACGCAGGAUGUGGAUGAUGCGAGAGAGAAGUACCAGUUGCACAAGUGUAGGGGGCACCAAGUAGUAUCCCACUGUCAUAGGCAGAAGCAGUCCUGGUUAAAGAGAAAAGAGUCAAGAAAAUUAUCCACAUGUAAUGAUGUUUAGAGGAACAUGCUAUUUUAUACUUAAGUGGUUGUUUCUAGAUUUUAAUUUUUAUUAAUGCC
rnacentral:lncRNA from 1 species